rnacentral:lncRNA from 1 species
CCCGACCUUCCGCACCAACUUCGCCACCCUCUUCGAAACCAUGGAGGCCCAGAUCGAUGCCGACGGCAAGGCCGACUUCAACAAGCUCAACGACAACACCUCCUUCGAGUGCAUCGGCGAGGUCUACUUCGGCGUCCGGCCCUCCGCCUCCAACCUCGGCACCACAGGCCCCACCAAGGCCGUCAAAUGGCUCCUCUUCCAGCUCGCCCCCCUCACGUCCCUUGGCCUUCCAAAGAUCCUUGAGGAAAUCUUCC